CCCUUAGAUGUCCGGGGCUGCACGCGCGCUACACUGAAGGAAUCAGCGUGCUAAAACCAUUGUCGAAAGGCAUUGGUAAACCCAUUAAAAUCCUACGUGAUUGGGAUCGGGAAUUGCAAUUAUUUCCCUUGAACGAGGAAUUCCCAGUAAGUGUGGGUCAUAAGCUCGCGUUGAUUACGUCCCUGCCCUUUGUACACACCGCCCGUCGCUGCCCGGGACUGAGCCGUUUCGAGAAAAGCGGGGACUGCUGCUGUCGGGGCUUUCGGGCCUUGGCUUCGGUGGAAACCGCUUUAAUCGCAGUAGCUUGAACCGGGCAAAAGUCGUAACA
rnacentral:rRNA from 1 species